AGGUCGGUACAACUGAUUCGAAAUCCGUUGUACUGGCAACAGUACCUAGGGUUCAAAUCCCUAUCUCUCCGCCA
rnacentral:tRNA from 1 species